AGGAGAAGUCGUAACAAGGUUUCCGUAGGUGAACUCGCGGAAGGAUC
rnacentral:rRNA from 1 species